GAUAUUAAUCUAAUAUAUUGUUAAUAAAAUGAUAAUAUUGCUAAUUCGCAAACAAAUUAUUUGGUUAGAUUACACAAUUUAGUUCUACAAGUAUAUAACCUAAUUUCGUUUGAUCAGCCGUGAUUAAAAAAUAAAAUUUAAUGUCACAUAUAAUAAAUAAAUAAAAUACUUCAAUAGUAUAAGAUAAAUAUUUUUAUGUAUUACGUAUUAUCUAUACUUAUGUAUAGAUUAAUAUGACAUUAACAUGAUUCUUUUGUUAGUAUUAGAUUAUUGUUAUUAUUAUGCAUUAUAAUAUUUAUACAUAUGAAAUAUAAAUAUAUAUAUUAUUAGUGUAUUGAAUGAGAAAAUGCCAUAUGGCACUACAAAAAAAAUGCCAUUUAGUGGCACACACUUUUAGUGGCAUUUAACUUUUAUGUCAUUAUUUUAGGUUUUUAAUGGCACUUUAUGUAUAUCAUAUUUGAUUGACACAAUCUUUUAGUGGCAUUUAGUUUUAAUGCCACUAAUUUAGGUUUUAGUGGCACUUUUCAUGUGACAUCUUUAUUCUUUACACAAUUUUAAUGACAUUUAGGUUAUAUAUGCCACUAAUUCACAAUUUCACUUUCACUUUAACAUUUCACUCCUUGUGUCACUAAUCUAGGUCAUCGAAACUCAAAAAUUUCUCCAUUUUUACCUCCAAACUUUUCCUAAAAUUUGCAUUAAAGUUUCUGUUUUUCCCUCCAUCAAAAUUCCUCUCUAAAAUUUACAUUAUUAUUUAUUUUUCCCCUCCAACAAAAUUUCUCUCAGAAAAAAAGAAGUUUCCCUCUCACUUGCCAGUUUUCCUCUCCCCCUCGUCUCUCUCAUUCGUUGUGGUGUCCAAGUUUGCUUUCAAUCGUUCUUUAAAACUACAGGUGGUUCGCUUGUGUUUUUUCUAGUUCCUACUCUUGAGGUACGAUAUGUACACUAUUGGGUUUCUUAUCUCAUAACAACGCCCUAACCCUAGUUCCCGUUUGGUGUUUCUCUUCAAAAAUUAUCAUCAGUAGGUGGUGCGCUAUAGAUUGUUCCACGAAUCCACUUUCUAUUUGAGGUACGACAUGUUAAAUUUUGAGUUUCGUAUCUUAUAAUACUCUGUUUAAUUUUUCAAAAUCACGUUGCCCUGAUUUGUUCAUCGGUUUAUCUUUGCUAAUAUCAUCAGGAACAAAGUGUGAAAUUGCUAUCCAUUGCUGAAUAAUACUAAAAAUAUAUUUUUGUGCUAGGGAUUAUAUUACACCUGAUCAAGGGUUAUUAUAUUUGCGCAGACCAAAUUUUAUAAGCAUUUCCUUUGAUCUUUACUGAUGAAUUUGAGUCCCAUGACUUUCCGCCCGUCGGAACUUUUGGUCAAGCUCCGCCACUAACUGUCUAUGUACAUAAACAAUGGCAUUUGGGUCCAGGAAUUCUACAAAUGUUUUCUUGUUUUUUUUCAUAGACUUUUGAGUCAUUUGAUCACAUUUCACAGCAAACAACAGUUGUUGCCUUUGUUCCAUUCUCUGGCUCCUCCACUGCACCGCUAUGUGUGAAAGCAAUGCCAUCACACUGCGACCUGCAGUUGUCGCACGUCAGCCUACCUUUGUUGGUCGUCUCCUGAUUUCUGAGUGAUCCACUUGAAUUUGUAAGUUGUAUUUUUAUUUUCCUUUUUUCCUAAAACUUGGUAUUUUCAGUUGAAACUUGGGCAUGUUGUAAAUUGUAAGUAGCCUCUUUACCCACCCUUUGAGACUUUACUUGUAUAACUAAUUAGUUUUGCUUAAAUGAGACUAUAUUUUCUGUAACGAGUUAUUUCUUUCUUACAAAGUCAAUUCAAAUAAACAAUUUUGACAUUUUUUUGUGAUAUUUGGUGUGGAAAUAUGGUGCCAACAUCUAAGUUCAGUUGCUUGUCUAGUGAAGAGGACCUUGUAUUACAGCUAGGGGUGUAAACGAGCCGAGCUACUCGAGAUUGGCUAGUAAAAAGCUCGAAACAAGCCGGGCUUAAUUCAACCCAUUUAGUUUUCCAGGUAGAAGAAGCUCAGCAGAAAUGGCGUGUGGCGUUUACUAAAACGAAAAACAAGCUGAAAAUUGCAUUUUCUAAACAGUAAAAGAGGCGAACAUAGAAGAAAUCAGGUAACAGGCAUGAUGCACUGAUGCAGACUGUUAUAACUUUUCUUAUUCCGAUGCACUGAUGAAGGCAUGAUAAGCAAUCCAGCUUAACAAAGGAAACACGGGCGCAGUGGUGGUGAUGUCUAUGGAGCUUACGGUAGUUGUUCUUCUGGAUGCAGUGGUAGUGCUGGGGGUUCAAGGCACAUCCCUGCUUCUAGAAGGCAGGGUUAUAAUUACUGAAGAUGAAGCCUGAAGCCAGCCUAAACAACCAGAAGACCUGUUGAACCGAACCGGUUAUGGCCCACCUUAAGAGGACAACUGAACCAGAAGACCAUGUCCCGACACUAUUUUACCAAGGUGAAGGAAAUUCAGCUUACUAGAGGCAUUGAAAAAACCACCUAAUGCUUGGUGAAGGGCUUAAAAUGUUGUGAAAAGAAGUUAUAUACAACCGUUGGUACUGGCUAGAAGAAACCUUUGGAAACCUGAGUACGAAACUGGAUAUUCAACUCUGGUUUUGUUGCAGGUUUGAUGACGUUGUUUCGUCGACGAUUUUAUGGCGGCAACGCGAUCUGCAGAUAUGUUUUGGCCUUGUAUUAACACGAUUUGCAGAUCUAUUUUUGAAACCCAAGUCUUGAAUACUAGUAGGUCCUAAAGUUAUGAAAUUUUUGUAAUUAACAACAGCCACGUUAAAGUGCUUAAUAAGAUUCUUGUUUAAUGCAGUAGAUAUAGGUUUAGGGUUAAUGCUUAUU
rnacentral:lncRNA from 1 species